rnacentral:misc_RNA from 1 species
GAUGAAGAACGUAGCGAAAUGCGAUACUUGGUGUGAAUUGCAGAAUUCCGUGAAUCAUCGAAUCUUUGAACGCACAUUGCGCCCCCUGGUAUUCCGGGGGGCAUGCCUGUCCGAGCGUCAUUGCAACCUUCAAGCGCGGCUUGUGUGUUGGGUCUCGUCCCCCGUGGACGGGCCCGAAAGGCAGUGGCGGCGUCCCGACAUGGUGCCCGAGCGUAUGGGAAUCCUCUUCCGCUCGAAUCGGCCCAUGCGGCGCUGGUCGUAACCAAAUUUUUUACCGGUUGACCUCGGAUCAGGUAGGGAUACCCGCUGAACUUAAGCAUAUCAAUAAGCGGAGGA